AGGCUCCAAGAUUAGACAAUACGAAACUGUAUCUAGAAUGGUGGAACAGUGGUGUUAGUUCAAGAUUAGAUAACACUGCCGAUGUAGAAGUAUAUCUGUGUAACGACUAUAGUAGCAGUUGUGGAGUUUGUAAAUACCACAAAAACAAGGGAUACAAAUGUGAUUGGUGUGGCUCAUGCAAAACUACUAUUGAUGGUGCACCAGAGACAUGUGAACAAGAAAUACUUGAUCAAUGUCAGCCGUCUGUAUCAGGGGUGUAUCCAUCUGCAGGGCCUGAAUUUGGCGGAACGUUUGUUAACAUUACUGGAACUAAUAUUGGUAACAGAGGAGAUAAUAUUUCAGUUACCAUAAAUGGUGUAAAGUGCGAAAAUGUGACAGUCAUACAACCAUCUUCUGUUAUCAGUUGUAUAACUUGCAAUGGAUCUACAAGCACACAAGAUCUAGAUGGAAUAGAAGUUUCGGUGAAUCGAGUCAUAAGCCUUUUAGCAAGACACAUGUA